AUUUCACACAAUACUAUUACAAUUAUUGAAAUGAACUCAUCCACGAUGGUUUUCUUCACUAUUUGUUCUUUCAUACAUAAUUGUAUCUAAAAAUGUAAGGGAGGGAAUUGGCUGUGAUUAUGGACAUACAAAAUCUGAAUUCUACUUUUCAUGAGGGGGUAAUCUCUGGUGAAAUCAUUUAUCUGUUUUUCAAGUUUGACAUUGCAAAAAAAUGAAGGGGCGAGCAUCAGCUGUGAUUAUGGACAUUCAGAUUGAAUUCUACUUUUCAUGAGGGGUAAUCUCUGUUGAAGAAAUCAUUUAUCUUUUUUUCAAGUUUGACAUUGCAAAACGUCUAACCUGCUUAAAUACUCAUUUGAAAACAAUUACAUGGAACCAAAGAGCACUUGAAAACAAAAC
rnacentral:lncRNA from 1 species